GAUGAACGCUGGCGGCGUGCCUAAUACAUGCAAGUCGAGCGAACGGACGAGAAGCUUGCGUCUCUGAUGUUAGCGGCGGACGGGUGAGUAACACGUGGAUAACCUACCUAUAAGACUGGGAUAACUUCGGGAAACCGGAGCUAAUACCGGAUGAUAUUUUGAACCGCAUGGUUCAAAAGUGAAAGACGGUCUUGCUGUCACUUAUAGAUGGAUCCGCGCUGCAUUAGCUAGUUGGUAAGGUAACGGCUUACCAAGGCAACGAUGCAUAGCCGACCUGAGAGGGUGAUCGGCCACACUGGAACUGGAACACGGUCCAGACUCCUACGGGAGGCAGCAGUAGGGAAUCUUCCGCAAUGGGCGAGAGCCUGACGGAGCAACGCCGCGUGAGUGAUGAAGAUCUUCGGAUCGUAAAACUCUGUUAUUAGGGAAGAACAUAUGUGUAAGUAAAUGUGCACAUCUUGACGGUACCUAAUCAGAAAGCCACGGCUAACUACGUG
rnacentral:rRNA from 1 species